rnacentral:rRNA from 1 species
GAUGAACGCUGGCGGCGUGCUUAACACAUGCAAGUCGAACGAGAAGUGAAGACGGAAACCUUCGGGCGGAAGGCUUUAUUUCGAGUGGCGGACGGGUGAGUAACGCGUGGGUAACCUGCCUCAUACAGGGGGAUAACAGUUGGAAACGACUGUUAAUACCGCAUAAGACCACAGCACCGCAUGGUGCGGGGGUAAAAACUCCGGUGGUAUGAGAUGGACCCGCGUUCGAUUAGCCAGUUGGCGGGGUAACGGCCCACCAAAGCGACGAUCGAUAGCCGAUCUGAUAGGAUGACCGGCCACAUUGGGACUGAGACACGGCCCAAACUCCUACGGGAGGCAGCAGUGGGGAAUAUUGCACAAUGGGGGAAACCCUGAUGCAGCGACGCCGCGUGAGUGAAGAAGUAUUUCGGUAUGUAAAGCUCUAUCAGCAGGGAAGAAAAUGACGGUACCUGAGUAAGAAGCCCCGGCUAACUACGUG